ensembl:processed_transcript Snhg5 small nucleolar RNA host gene 5
AAAGGAGACUAUAAAAGGAGCUGCGGUGAACCGGGCUCGUUCUUUUACGACGGAGUCUAAGAUAUUCUUUGUCUUGUCGGUACUAGAGUCACCGAAAGAGACAUCCUAUUAUAUGCACGUUCACAAGGACAAUGGCGCCAUUGUUCUUCGCGUCUUCAAAGCAGCUACAAGAAGAAACCAAGAUGGAGGGGAGCCCAAAGCAUCUGAGAGAAUUGAUAAAUGAAAGAAACAUGCUUAAAACAUGACCGUUUUAAAGGUGAAUGCUGACCAGUGAGAAAACUAGAUGUGACCAUCCAGAAAAAGCAUAGACAAAAAAAUGCAGUCUUAGUACUGGGAUGUUUGAGAUGGGGUCUAUCUACAUGUCUCUAGCUGUCCCUAUCAGGACAGCAUCUGGUGUGGCCUGCAGAGUUGAUUCCUGUACUUUUUUUUUUUGUGGGCUGUAUGUAAAUGGAUUGUUUUGACAAUCCAUUCGACAGUGUUCUCUUCUGUGAAGGUCAUAGGUGAGCUGAUGACAGACACAGCUGUACAGACUGAAUGCAAUCCUGACUAUAAAGCUGCAGUUCAUCAUUAUGAGCUAUUUCCUUAUUCUGGCAGUGAUUGAAAUAAAAUGGGGAGUAUUGAAAUAAAAAACAUUCAAUUGCAAAUA